rnacentral:rRNA from 1 species
AAAAAGCUCGUAGUUGGAUUUCUGCGGGGGCGGGGCGGCCGGAUGCUUAUAGCAUCUCGAGCUAGCACUUCCCCCGCAUCCUGCCGCGAACCGUGCUACCAUUAGUUUGGUGGCGCUGGGGAUCGGCUCGUUUACUUUGAGAAAAAUAGAGUGUUCAAAGCAGGCCACACGCCUUGAAUAAGUUAGCAUGGAAUAAUGAUAAAGGACUUCGGUUCUAUUUUGUUGGUGUUCGGGACUGAAGUAAUGAUUGAUAGGGACAGUUGGGGCGGUCAGUAUUCCAAAGCGAGAGGUGAAAUUCUUAGACCUUCGGAAGACUAACAGCUGCGAAAGCGUUCCGCAAGGAUGUUCCCUUUGAUCAAGAACGAAAGUUGGGGGAUC